rnacentral:rRNA from 1 species
AUAUAAAUAAGCGGAGGAAAAGAAACUAAAUAGGAUUCCCAUAGUAAGGGCGACUGAAGUGGGAAAAGUUCAAAAUGAAAACUUUAAUAUAUUAAUUUAUAUUAAGGAAUGUAAUAUAUAGAAUAAUUAUCAUUGGUUAUAUAAGCUUAAAUUCUUAUUGAAAUGAGAUAUCAUGGAAGGUUAUAAUCCUGUAAAGCUUUAAAUAUAUUAAACCAUAUACGAUAUUAUAUCACAGAGUCAGGUUAUUUGAGAGUAUAACCUAAAUUUAGGUGCUACAUAUCAUCUAAAACUAAAUAUUAACGAGAGACCGAUAGCGAACAAGUACCGUGAGG